rnacentral:lncRNA from 1 species
UUCAUAUCGAAACUUUAGCCAUAUCUCUACUUGUUUGUUUCCACCAUACCAACUCCCUCUUUACAAUUAUUACAGACGGUUGACUUGAUCUUCGAAGUACGAAUGAUCGAUGUCCCUUUUCUCCUUUGGCUUGUUGAUCCUAGAGCUAAUGAUGUAUCCUGACACGCAGGUAACGUACAUGUCAUCAAGGAUGUGCUUAGAGAUCCAUUGACAACAAGGCCCUAUCAAUUAUUUAGAUCAAUAGAUUGGUUGUCUGUGUGAAUCUGUGGUGGAUGCAUAAUUCAAAACCACAUGGUAAAAUCAAUUUGGCAUUUUUUUAAUUUUUUUUUUAAUUUUUGCAAUUCUCAUUUUCUGGCCAAUAUGGUUGAAAUGAGUGUGAAUGGGGCAGAAGAAUCUUCUCAUCACAAGGACAUCCCAUUAUAGUUUGGACCUUUUGAAGGUCAUUCACUGCUGGAUACACAGAAGCCUCAUUCUAACAAGGUAAUAUACAACUCAAGGAGAAGAGCGCGCCAUAUAAGGGCCAUGAUCUAGGAAUUUGGAAAUACACAUGCAAUUUCAAAUAACAAAAGAAGUCAAAGCCAAUGAAGCCCUCCGAGGUUUGACUCCCAUAGCAGUUGUCGAUAUCAGGAUACUUCGUCCCAUCCCAGCAACUGUUGAUAUUGUCCCGCAUUUUAUAUAACGUGAUUAUGUCGCAAGUGUACAGUGUCAAAUUUGUAAUAUAGUUAUGAAGUGAAAAGUGUC